rnacentral:rRNA from 1 species
UGGGGAAUUUUCCGCAAUGGGCGAAAGCCUGACGGAGCAACGCCGCGUGAGGGAGGAAGGCUCUUGGGUUGUAAACCUCUUUUCUCAAGGAAGAUAAUGACGGUACUUGAGGAAUCAGCAUCGGCUAACUCCGUGCCAGCAGCCGCGGUAAUACGGAGGAGGCAAGCGUUAUCCGGAAUUAUUGGGCGUAAAGCGUCCGCAGGUGGUUUUUCAAGUCCGCUGUCAAAGACCGGAGCUUAACUCCGGAGAGGCAGUAGAAACUGAGAGACUAGAGUUCGGUAGGGGUAGAGGGAAUUCCCAGUGUAGCGGUGAAAUGCGUAGAGAUUGGGAAGAACACCAGUGGCGAAAGCGCUCUACUGGGCCGAAACUGACACUCACAGGACGAAAGCUAGGGGAGCGAAAGGGAUUAGAUACCCCCGUAGUCC